AUUUGAAAGGCAAAGCAUAUGAGUGAGUUCUUUUUGGUGUUUUUCUUUUUUCACCUACUUAGUAAAACCUGAUAUAAUAUUUAAACAAUAGAAGAGGAAAAGAUUAGGUAACUUUUAGUGACAGUGUGAUCACAACAAACUUUGUGUGGUUUGCUCAUUGUCCUACGAACAUGAGAUUGAUUCUGAAUUUUGCAUGGCUUUGAUUGCAG
rnacentral:misc_RNA from 1 species